UCUCUCUCUCUCUCUCACGAUGUCCGCAUCUUUCCCUCUCUCUGUUUCUCUCUCUAAAGUCUCUGUGUGAAUACACAACGCCGACGGGCUGGAGUUGUUCUGCGCCGCUCAUCCUCUACGCCUCCUCGGUCCUGCUCCACCACCACAGCCACUAUGCCCUUCGUCCUGGUCGCUUGGUUACACCAAAAAGUAGGAGGAAAGACAUUUUCGAGGAGUCAUCACUUUGGAGGAAUGUAAUAUUGAAGAGGUAUCAGAUGAGGAAGAACCUCCAUCAAAGAGCUCAGAGGAUAAGAAGGCUAAUGGGCCAGAUUCUGGAAAAGCACCCAGUCUUGUGUUCAAGAUCACUAGCAAGGUUCCAUAUAAAACUGUUUUGAA